rnacentral:rRNA from 1 species
UACUUAGGGUGCAAGCGUUGUCCGGAAUUAUUGGGCGUAAAGAGCUCGUAGGCGGUUUGUCGCGUCGGCUGUGAAAACCUAGGGCUCAACCCUGGGCUUGCAGCCGAUACGGGCAAACUAGAAUUCGGUAGGGGAGACUGGAAUUCCUGGUGUAGCGGUGAAAUGCGCAGAUAUCAGGAAGAACACCCGUGGCGAAGGCGGCUCUCUGGAACGCAACUGACGCUGAGACGCGAAAGCGUGGGGAGCAAACAGG